GCCCUGGUAGCUCAGUAGGAUAGAGCGAUCCCCUCCUAAGGGAUAGGUCAUGGGUUCGAUUCCUGUCCAGGGCACCA
rnacentral:tRNA from 1 species